rnacentral:tRNA from 1 species
GGGCCGCUAGCUCAACUGGUAGAGCAGCUGACUCUUAAUCAGCGGGUUGUAGGUUCGAGUCCUACGCGGCUCACCA